rnacentral:snoRNA from 1 species
UGGUCAAUUAUGAGAACUCAUAUGGUCUCGAAGAGCGAUGAUGACCUAAAAAUCAUGUUCAAUAGGAUGCGCUAAGGCCA